rnacentral:miRNA from 1 species
GCAGACACAUUCAAGCCAAUCAGCAGCAGACCCUCCCUCUCAGACCCUCCCACCUCCUGGACAGCUCACUAAGAAUGCAGCUUCACAAUGGAUGCUGACCAGGAGUAGGGAGGGUCUGGGAGGGAGGGUCUGCUGCUGAUUGGCUGGAAUGUGUCUG